AACGCAGCAAAAUGCGAGACGUAACGUGAAUUGCAGGACUUUGCGAACGUUAAUUCUUCGAACGCACAUUGCGGCUUUGGGUUGACUGAAGCCACGCCUGGUUGAGGGUCAGUUGAAUCAACCAUCACGACUGCGUGUAUAGUCGUGGAUUGUCCGAAUAACGCAGCACCUUGGUGUGAGGCGUUAGCGGAUCAAGACGAGUCCGGAUGUGGCUUCGCACACGCCGACUUGACUGCGCGAUCGUGUCGUGCGUCGGUUGGGGCUUGGGCGUCCUGAGCACAUGCACCGCUGUUGCUUGCUUGGGAUUGCUGGCCAACUGAACGCAAUCGCCGCGCGUAGUGUCAGCGAUGUGAGAGGGUGCUCGCACAUUCGUGUAGCGCGAUACACCUCGACACCGAUCCCCGCUGCGGACCGGUGUGUCGAGGAGCAAUAAAUUCAUUCUUUUGACCUCAGCUCAGACGAGAUUACCCGCUGAACUUAAGCAUAUC
rnacentral:rRNA from 1 species